rnacentral:rRNA from 1 species
GAUGAACGCUGGCGGCGUGCCUAAUACAUGCAAGUCGAGCGAACGGACGAGAAGCUUGCUUCUCUGAUGUUAGCGGCGGACGGGUGAGUAACACGUGGAUAACCUACCUAUAAGGCUGGGAUAACUUCGGGAAACCGGAGCUAAUACCGGAUAAUAUUUUGAACCGCAUGGUUCAAAAGUGAAAGACGGUCUUGCUGUCACUUAUAGAUGGAUCCGCGCUGCAUUAGCUAGUUGGUAAGGUAACGGCUUACCAAGGCAACGAUGCAUAGCCGACCUGAGAGGGUGAUCGGCCACACUGGAACUGAGACACGGUCCAGACUCCUACGGGAGGCAGCAGUAGGGAAUCUUCCGCAAAGGGCGAAAGCCUGACGGAGCAACGCCGCGUGAGUGAUGAAGGUCUUCGGAUCGUAAAACUCUGUUAUUAGGGAAGAACAUAUGUGUAAGUAACUGUGCACAUCUUGACGGUACCUAAUCAGAAAGCCACGGCUAACUACGUG